UGUAAGGGUAGAGACCCUGACCACUUUGUUCCCUGCCAUGUUCGGGAAACCGAGCACAGAGCCUGGCACACAGAGUUUCAACACCAUGCGCCCCAUUGGCUUCUAAGUUUCCUGCUCCGCUCUUUGGGCUUGAACUUGGGCUUCCACGCCGUGUUAUCCGUUGCGUGCUGAGUUCUGUACAGGGCCUGUGCGAGGCUCUUGAGUCACACCGGUUCUACGCAACUGAAGACAAAAACCAAAGCUGGGUCCAGGGAUGGGGACUGAACAGAAAGAAGGAUGCAGUCGAAACCCUUCAAGAGCGCCAGAGGUCCAAAUACAGAAGACAGGUUCCCAAAAGGGAAGGAGGACUGUAGUGAGAGAAGACCCACAUGGCCCUGGAAUGGAAGGGGGAAGCAGGUUGGGCUAGAAGUGAGAGGCCCUCACCUCUGUGAGUGACUGGAGUGUCUACAGCAGGACUUCAGAGGUGCCAGUUGUGGAGGCAUGGGCGGAUUGGAUUAGCACCAGCACUCGGGGCCAGGACAGACACCUCGGACCUGCCAUCGAGCCUUAGUCAUCUCCUUGCCAGCAAGACUCAUGAGGUAGGCCUAGCUCGAGGAAGAGGAACCCUGAGCAUGACCGCACCCUAAACUCCACUGUGCCCAUCAGCCCUGAGUCAUGACAAAGUUUCUGACCAUCAACA